AAAAUAUGCUUCUAAGCUUCCCAGAAAGAUGAAAUAACAUUAAUUCUCCACUGAAUUCCUAUGUGGGACUCUUUGAUGUCCUAAAGCGCCAUUUAGUGGUUCAAAAAGGUAUUGCACGUUUAUUUCGGAGUAAGUCAGUUUGGUCCUUGUUAUAUUGACUCAUCCAUGAGAAUUAGAUGGAAAACUGAUCCAUGGGAAAUGCUGAUCCCUGCAAAUGUCGCAUUUAAUUAAACACGGUUUCACACCCAGAGAAAGGCCCAGAGGACGUCAACACAAACGCACCAAAUAUUCCCAGAAGUAUGAUGGCAGUGGUGCAUUGCAGACAUAUUUUAUAUUAGUUUUGCAUUCUGUAUCGGUUCUGAGGACCAGAGGAAAGCGGGCUAGUUUGAUCCGUUUGCACCGUCACAGCCUGCUGGGAUCAAACAAUUAACCUUCAGUAUAUUGAAAGCAACAGGAGAAUGCUAACACAAAACCUUGCAAAUGAAAUAGCAGCUGUUGCUAUAGUAACUUGUCCUGAAGUCUAAAGGCAUUUGUGCAACACCAUACAAUAUAUUUCAGUUGCCAAGGAACAUCCGUCAUUUACUCAAAGUUUUCAGUCUGUGGCCUGGACUUACUGUAAAUACAUGAAGAGAACUAGGGAAGAUGGAAAUGUUAUUGUGUUGUAACAUGAAAACAGUGUUUUUUCUAAAUGCAUGUAAUAUGAUUUGUUUAAAUGUAUAAACAUAAGUGGCCUUUCGUCCAGUUCUUUCUAAAAUGUUAAAACAAUUCUAGUGAACAUUUAACCAUGGAUUUACUACAGUAACUCUGAGUGUUGCACAUUGUAUUAGUGGAAAUGCUUCAUAGGACUAAUAAUAAUUAAGGCCUUUCAAGAUGUUAAUGAGUUUGUUUCUUUAUCAGAAUAGAUCUGGAGAAAUUUAGCAUUACAUCACUUGCUCCUCUGCAGUGAAUGGGUGCCGUCAGAAUGAGAGUCCAAACAGCUGAUAAAAACAUUUCAAUAAUCCACACCACUCCAGUCCGUCAAUUAAUAUCAUGUGAAGCAAAGUUUGCAAGAAACAAAUACAUCAUUCAGACAUUUUUGGGUUAAAUUGACUGAAUCGGAAUCAUAUGAUUCCAGAUGACUUCGAAUAUAGCAAAUGGGUUAUGUGGACUACUUUUACCUUUAGUAUUAUGGUGUGUUUUGUUGUAAUAUAGUUGUUCAAACAGUUGCAUAAUGAUUUUUUUUUUAUUAUUAUUAUUCUUUUGUGUUUCACAGAAAAAAAUGACAGCUUAGAGUUUGAAAUCACAUCAGGGUGAGUAAUUAUUCUUUUAAAGAUUUUACCUACAUUUUUACUUCACACUCUCUAAUAAAAAAAAGGUACAAAAGUUGUCACUAGAGCUUUUCAAAAGGUACACUUUUGUACUUUAUUUACCCCAGAAAGAUGCAUAUUGGUACCUUAAAUGUACAUAUUAAUACCUAAAGAAUACAUAUUAGUUAAAUACCUAAAUGAUGCAUAUUAGCACCUUUUAAAAAAGUAUACCUCCCCAGUGACAGCUUUUGUGCCUUUUUUUUUUUUUCAAAAAAAAUAAAUAAAUAAUUAAAUAAAUUCAAUGCAUAUGAGAUUCAAAAAGACAUAAAAAUGUGUUGAAAACAUAAGUAGCCACCCUCAUGUAAAUUUCUUUCCUUUAUUUUCUGAUGUUUCUUUGGUUGUCUAUUCAUGUGCCCAUGUGUUUUGUAUUAUAAUUGAGUAUUUCAUGCUUGCUGAUGGCUGAUGGGAUGUACUGCCAUAUGGCUGUGAUAACAGCUGCCUGCAUAUUAGCAGCAGGGAUAAUCUAUAGCUUUGUGCUGAACAUAAUCCCUAAAUGACAACAAUGAGUUUGUUCAAUCCUGUCACGGUAUCUUAACUCCCACCUCAUGAUGGGGAGGUUGUGGUGUAACUAUGGUAACGCAAUGCAUUCACACAUCACAGAGUGAAGUAUGUGACAGGUGUGGACUUGACAGACACUGAGCAUGAUGUACAUUUAGAAUCAUUUUGAAAUGCAUACACCAUCACACCCAAAUACUUUUACAUGCUCCCGCUGCUCUUGAGUAUCCUGGAGCCAGUAGGGCCUGUAAAUUGAAUGCUUAUAUAAGACACCUCAAACACACCCGUCUCACACCCGUCUUAUAACUAAUGCCUGCUUUAACAUGCUACUGCAGUUUGUUGUUGACAGAUACGCAUAGUCCUGGUAUGUUUUUAAGUGCAUGUCAUAUUUGCAUUGUAUAAUUAAAUAUAUAAUUAUAUAAAUGUAUAAAAUAUUCAGAUUAUUUAGAAUAUGUUACAUUACUGAUAAUUAUUAAUAUAAAAUUUUUAAUUAGGUAAAAUAAAAUUCGAAAUAAAAUUUCAAAUAAACAUAACUGAAAAUUACAUUUACGUUUCAUGUCAUUAAUCAUACUAUUUUAAUCAUACUAUUGUAGGAUUUGUUAAUAUUUUGAAUUAGAUUUUUAAAAUAUUUUCUGUUUUAUUUAUUUUUUUAAGUUUGUCUUUUUUAAUAGUUUUUGUCAUUUUCAUUAAUGCACAAAAAGCAAAAAUAAGAUGUUCAACUGUAGCUGAAAUAAAAUAAGUGUAAGGGUUAUUUUUAUUUUUUU
ensembl:lncRNA